UGGGGAAUUUUGGACAAUGGGCGCAAGCCUGAUCCAGCAAUGCCGCGUGUGUGAAGAAGGCCUUCGGGUUGUAAAGCACUUUUGUCCGGAAAGAAAACCUCGUGGCUAAUACCCGUGGGGGAUGACGGUACCGGAAGAAUAAGCACCGGCUAACUAUGUGCCAGCAGCCGCGGUAAUACGUAGGGUGCAAGCGUUAAUCGGAAUUACUGGGCGUAAAGCGUUCGCAGGCGGUUCGCUAAGACAGAUGUGAAAUCCCCGGGCUUAACCUGGGAACUGCAUUUGUGACUGGCGGGAUAGAGUAUGGCAGAGGGGGGUAGAAUUCCACGUGUAGCAGUGAAGUGCGUAGAGAUGUGGAGGAAUACCGAUGGCGAAGGCAGCCCCCUGGGCCAAUACUGACGCUCAUGCACGAAAGCGUGGGGAGAAAACAGG
rnacentral:rRNA from 1 species